GAGGGUGCAUCGAACCAUCAAGUUACGUGCGCACCAACGCCACCCAGGACCGGAUCAUCGCCCCCUACCGACCAAGGUACCGCCAACACAGAAUCUUUACAGCCGCUACCUGAGACCCACAACUAAUGGGAUUUUCGGAAAGACGGAAG